CGGCGCGAGCUCGGAGUCGCCUGUGGUGUUUGCUGUGGCGUUAUCUGCGGCCGCGCUAUACAGCUCUGCACCGCGCAGCGGUCGGGAUACCGCAGUUGUCCACGGCUUCUCUGCCCCCUGUCUGUCGGGUAGCCCUGCCGCUGAGGAGCUGGCGGGGCCUCGGGUCGGUGUGGUAAAGAUAGGCUAAGAGGGAAGUCCCGCCUCCGCUGCUGCCGAGAGGAGUCAUGUCUUGGGAGGCCGGCUCGGAGCCGGUGCUGUUCCUGCACUGCUCCGUAGGCUCUGCUGGUCGCGGCUCCCUGCCGGCACUCGGCGUGCCCCGUCAGGUGUGUGGAAAACAGACAUCAGCCCCCGCCCGUCACGUUGGCCUUGCGUCUUAAACCAUGGUAGGACUCGACUGGGAGCGUACACAAAUUCUUGUUGUGGCUUCCUGGAGAAAGCUAAAGGAUGAGCUCGGAAAUGCUGCUGUGAAGAUAGGCGGGAAAACUGGAAGCUGUUUUGGGACAUGCGCUUACCGUCGAUAGCUAGCUGUGCUCCCUAAGAGCGCAGAAAGCCGUGUGGUGGCUUAUGCUGUGAGGGGAGCUCCCAGCGCACAGAGCUGCACUGCGCUGAGACCCGACAGCUCCAUCAACUUUGCGAGGGCUGCAGGCAGCUUCGCUGUGUAGAACGAUUUCUGAACUUAAAGGGAAGAUAUUCAGAUCACUCGGUUUAACUCUACUGGCUAUCUCUCUAAAACAAGCCACACACCAUCAGUUCACUGGGAAUAGAACUAUUCUGAAUAACAUGCUUUGAUCCAGCAUGAAGGAGGACAAUUUUAAUGAGUUAAGAGGCUCUUAAAGCAGACCACAAGAAUUUCAAGAGUGAAGCUGAAUGAAACCAUGGAAAUUAAUCAGAGAGGAGCGGCAGCAAAGCCUUCCUCAGAACGCAUCCAUCCCCGCUAAGUGACUUGCGAAAGAAGCAAAUCGGCAGCGGUGAGCAGAUGGUGCAAAGCUCAGGAACAAGAGAGGAGACGAGAGGAGAAGUAAGCCCGCGGAGAUGGCGUGUCCGAGGCACGGAGCGCAGGACUUACUGACCCGAGCUCUCCACUGGGAUGUACCGUGGGAGCUGCAGAUCGCCUGUGCUCUGCAUCCCCACCGCUUUGUUUAUCGGAAAAUAUUCAGAAUGGAAACCUGACUCCACUUCUAAAAAUAGCUGAAUUUACUGAGUUUCAACUUGAAGUCCCACUGCUGAAGUGUGACAACGGUACGUAAAUACCUCGUCUUAUCUCCAAAAGGCAGCAUGUCAAGCCACUGGGGGAAAGCCUAGACGAGCUCUUCGGGUCUUUACAUUAGCUCUUCGCAAAAAUAAAGCAAAACCCAAUAAAAAUAAAGAGGACAGGGCAGGGAAGAGCAACGACCGCGAGCGCUCAGCCGCGGGGAAC